UUUGUUUCCAGCUUCAAUGGUGUAAUUUGUAGUUAUCUGUGUUUUUAAAAGCAGUGCGUUUCAGUUUGAGUGACAGACAAUUUAAUACAUAUCCCACAGCGCAGCCUUCACUCCUGUGGGAAUAGGGGUAGUGCUGUCAGUUAGCAGGAGGUCAGCUUUUUCAUCUGCUACACUCUUCCUGAGUGACCUUGGACAAGCCCUUCGAUCUGUUUAUCUGUGUGGCCCUCAGUUUGUCUGGCUGUUUAGACAAGAGAGGAAGGAAAUGCCCCCCCUCACAGCCCUUACUCUUUCACAGUGAGAUAAGAUGCUUCCUCAUGCAGAGAUCACCUUCUGCUGUGUUUGGAUGUAAUGGUCUGAUGUCUGCAAGCUCUAGAAACAACUUACUGUAAAUGAUUCUAAUAACAACACUAACACUGUAUACUUUUCAAUACGCCUGCAUGAGGCAACAUCUGUGUGUGUUUAGAUAAGCUGGAAGCAGCUGUAUUUGGCCUCUGCACCAGCUGCUGUGAUUGCAGUGCAGUUCUCUGCUGGUCAGUGCGCGUGCCGGUGGGUACGGCUGGGAACACAACUCCGUGUACGUUGCAAUCUCUGUAUUUAGUGCCUGCUAUUGGCACUCUCAUCUCUCUUACUUAUGAAUAAGUGGGUGAGGGAGGAGAGGGCUGGGCUGGGCUGACUCCUUCACAGAUGAAACAUAAAGAGCACAGGAGCUGAAACACAAUCUCCUCCUCCUUUCCUGCGCUGUUUCACGCACAGCCUUGCUCACAGCUGGGAGGAGGACAGCCUCACCAGCAGCCUGAGCAGGAGUGAGGAGAAGGGAAGUUUUGUGCUCUUCACACUGCAGGCGAAACAUCUUUGCAUGAACUCUGCGAAAAGGUUAUUAACAUCCUGCAGCAAAGGCAUCACUUCAGCCUAAACAUUUGUGGAAGAAAUAAACUCUACAUGAAAACUGAAUGUAAUUAAGUCUUACAUUCAGGACCCUGAUGAGUGA
rnacentral:lncRNA from 13 species